GGUUGUGGCUCAGUGGUAGAGUGCUUGUCUAGCACGCGCGAAGUGCAGGGUUUGAUCCUCAGCACCA
rnacentral:tRNA from 1 species